rnacentral:lncRNA from 1 species
CUCUGUGUUUUGGGAUCCACCCAGACCUCACCUGACAAGUCUCUUCAUUUGGCUGUAAAUAUAGGGUUUUCCUGAGUUCUGUGAAUUUUUCUGGUGAAUUCACAGAGGGAGGUCAUGAGAACUCCCCAGGCUUGUAGCCAGCUGAUCUGACAUGAGGAAAAGGGAAAUUUAAACACAGACACGCAAGAGACAAGAAGGCCAUGUAAAGACAGAGGCAGAGAUUGGAACGAUGCAUCUACAAGCUAAAGAAUAGCAAGGAUUCCCAGAAGCCACCAGAAGCCAUGGAGAGAGGAAUGGAACAGCUCUUUCUCUGGAACCUCCGAGGGAGCAUGGCCCUGUCAACACCUUGAGUUUGGAUUUACAGCCUCCAGAACUGUGAGAGAAGAAGAUGUUUUUCAAGCCACCAUGUUCCUGGUGCUUUGGACAGCAGCCUUGGGAAAUUAAUACAGUAACUAUUUAAAUGAACUCUCUGGGAAUAUUUACUAUUUAAAAAGUAAUAACAAGGCAAUGUUGAAUUCUAGUUGGCUAUUACUUGCUUACUUGUUAAAAUUUUACGUGAAAAAUUCAGUUGCUCUACAGCUGCCCAAUCCCAUAGGCACCAUUGUUAUUAUUCCCAGUGGAUCUUGAACUAUGUUCUUUGAAAGAAUUGCGAAUAUUUG